rnacentral:rRNA from 1 species
UACGGGGGAGCAAGCGUUGUUCGGAUUUACUGGGCGUAAAGGGCGCGUAGGCGGUCGUGACAAGUCACUUGUGAAAUCUCCGGGCUUAACUCGGAACGGUCAAGUGAUACUGUCGGACUAGAGUACAGAAGGGGCAACUGGGAAUUCUCGGGUGUAGCGGUGAAAUGCGUAGAUAUCGAGAGGAACACCUGCGGCGAAGGCGGGUUGCUGGGCUGAUACUGACGCUGAGGCGCGAAAGCCAGGGGAGCGAACGGG